GAUGAACGCUGGCGGCGUGCUUAACACAUGCAAGUCGAACGAAGCACUUCAUAAAGCUUGCUUUAGGAAGUGACUUAGUGGCGGACGGGUGAGUAACGCGUGGGUAACCUGCCUUACACAGGGGGAUAACAGUUAGAAAUGACUGCUAAUACCGCAUAAAACAGCAGAGUCGCAUGACUCAACUGUCAAAGAUUUAUCGGUGUAAGAUGGACCCGCGUCUGAUUAGCUAGUUGGUGGGGUAACGGCCUACCAAGGCGACGAUCAGUAGCCGGCCUGAGAGGGUGAACGGCCACAUUGGGACUGAGACACGGCCCAAACUCCUACGGGAGGCAGCAGUGGGGAAUAUUGGACAAUGGGCGAAAGCCUGAUCCAGCGACGCCGCGUGAGCGAUGAAGUAUUUCGGUAUGUAAAGCUCUAUCAGCAGGGAAGAAAACGACGGUACCUGACUAAGAAGC
rnacentral:rRNA from 1 species